UAGGGAAUCUUCCGCAAUGGGCGAAAGCCUGACGGAGCAACGCCGCGUGAGUGAUGAAGGUCUUCGGAUCGUAAAACUCUGUUAUUAGGGAAGAACAAAUGUGUAAGUAACUAUGCACGUCUUGACGGUACCUAAUCAGAAAGCCACGGCUAACUACGUGCCAGCAGCCGCGGUAAUACGUAGGUGGCAAGCGUUAUCCGGAAUUAUUGGGCGUAAAGCGCGCGUAGGCGGUUUUUUAAGUUUGAUGUGAAAGCCCACGGCUCAACCGUGGAGGGUCAUUGGAAACUGGAAAACUUGAGUUCAGAAGAGGAAAGUGGAAUUCCGUGUGUAGCGGUGAAAUGCGCAGAGAUAUGUAGGAACACCAGUGGCGAAGGCGACUUUCUGGUCUGUAACUGACGCUGAUGUGCGAAAGCGUGGGGAUCAAACAGG
rnacentral:rRNA from 1 species